GUGUUAUGAUGAAAUCAAGCUGUCAUGCUGCAUGUGUGUGGUACAGAGUAUAUUUUUAGUGUUUUUAGCCUAUAAUUAUGUGUGUUUUGGUGUCUUUUGAAGCUAUUUGUCAAGGGAAGAGGUUAUGGUUAUUUUCGAUAGGGUGAAGUGCAUUUUACAACCUUUCUAAGCCUCAUUUAACUGAUCUAAACCUCAUUUUGUCUUCAAUUGAAAGUAAUAUUUAGGAAAAACUUGUUGUGAUUUCUUUCUCUUUUUUUUUUGUUACAUAUUACUUAGGGCACCCUUCUUCCUCAUCAGUUUGUCCAGUUGACUGCUGGACAGAAAGAUCCGUGAAUCUUCAAGUUUCCAUCACAGCAUACAUGCUGUCUCCUGCCAAGACCAAAGAUAUAUUUAUUAGGUCUGAUGCUUCUCUUAUGCUACUAUACAUCAAUAACUGAGUUGAAGACAAUGUGGCUACAUCAUCAUAAACCCGGUACUGGUGUCUCACUUGUUAAUACCAUAGACCUUCUUUCGCAGCUUAGAUGAGAAAGUCUGUGUGGUUUGGCAUAACUCUCAUCACAGGCAUCUUCAGAUGGGGAUUUCUGUUGCUGAUGGGAGACAGCUAUAACUUUGCGCCUAUGUUAUUGAAUCUUAAAGCACCAAAAGAACAUUAAACAUACCAAACCUCUGUCCUUCCGGGAAUUCCUGCCGCCUCAGCCAGCUCCUUUUCCUUCUUGGCUAACAGUCACUAUUCACAAACUCCUCUAAAGAAAAAGCCACCCAGAAUGGCAUUUCUGCCUCUUCUUUCAAGAAUCCCAGGAGACUUCAGGAAGAAAAAGCCAUGCGCUCAAAAUCCUCCUCUUCAGAAAUCGGUUUUGGCUGUGACCCUCCUUGGCCCCUUCUGGAUUCAAUUCAGGAAACCCUACAAGGAUGUUCUACUUCAGAUAAAUAAAGACUGCAAACUAAGUAAAGAUAAUAAGGAUAAAUAAAAUGACAACUCUGCCUCAAUUAAAAGAUAACUAAAGACGGCAUCCACUUUGAAAACACCCCAGAAGCAGACCCACUUCAUGAAGCCUGGAUCUGUACUGCUGUCCCCAGGAAGAUAUGGAGCUUCUGAAUUUGAAGAAAGAGUAAAAAGGCAGAAGCCCAUAUUAGGAGAAAAGCUCAUGAUAACCCUAUCAAGAAGCAGAAGACAAAACCCUGUGUGUUCUAAAGCUGUGGAAAACUUUGAACUUAAAAGAAAAGGCUCACUGGCAGUUUCAGAGAAACAAAAGGAUAAAUGUAAAACUGAUCUUCCAUCUGCACAAUGACACCUGAGAGAAAGUUCCAGUCAAAUCAGCAUGCAUUCAGGUGUCUCUUCUCUUCAUGGAGCAGGGAAAUGGUGGAAAAUGAAGGAUAAAUAGGACGGGAAGAGAAAAAUUCUUCGAAAAUUAGAAACUUAAAGUUGCUCGCACCUCACUAUGUGGCACCUCACCUGGGAGCCGGCAGCGUUCACCUCAGAGCUGUGGGAUGGGGGUGUCAGCAGCUGCAGGACCUUUGUGCUCCUUGGCGUGACAGCCCUCAACAGGUAACGAUGAGGGGAGCGGGGGCUUCGUAGGGGCAACCACACUGCCUGGGGCAGCCUCGGGACCUGAGCACACUGCAGCUCUGUCCCACUGCACAUCAGCCUGAAGAACAACGCCAGUGGCCGGAGGAUGCUCUCUGCCCCAAGCAUCAGUGGUGCUACAGCAGAAAAACGCGUGCCCUGCCCACCCUUUGCCUUCUGCCCCAAACCACUGAAUUUCUUCACCAGCUCCCAGGCGAGCUUCAGCCAGAGCUCGUUUUCCAAGCUGGCCUGGAAUGGAUCUCUGAGAAAAAGCCUAGAGAAAGAAAAAGGCAGGGCUAAGAGCAGCUCAGCCCCUGCACUGGUGUACCGUG